CAUGCAAGUCGAGGGGUAUAGUAGCAAUACUAGAGACCGGCGCACGGGUGCGUAACGCGUAUGCAAUCUACCUUUUGCAGAGGGAUAGCCCAGAGAAAUUUGGAUUAAUACCUCAUAGUAUAACGACUCGGCAUCGAGAUGUUAUUAAAGUCACAACGGCAAAAGAUGAGCAUGCGUCCCAUUAGUUAGUUGGUAAGGUAACGGCUUACCAAGACUACGAUGGGUAGGGGUCCUGAGAGGGAGAUCCCCCACACUGGUACUGAGACACGGACCAGACUCCUACGGGAGGCAGCAGUGAGGAAUAUUGGACAAUGGGCGCAAGCCUGGUCCAGCCAUGCCGCGUGCAGGAUGACGGUCCUAUGGAUUGUAAACUGCUUUUGCACAGGAAGAAACAACGCUACGUGUAGCGUCUUGACGGUACUGUGAGAAUAAGGAUCGGCUAACUCCGUGCCAGCAGCCGCGGUAAUACGGAGGAUCCAAGCGUUAUCCGGAAUCAUUGGGUUUAAAGGGUCCGUAGGCGGUCUUAUAAGUCAGUGGUGAAAUCUCCCCGCUCAACGGAGAAACGGCCAUUGAUACUGUAGGACUUGAAUUAUUAGGAAGUAACUAGAAUAUGUAGUGUAGCGGUGAAAUGCUUAGAGAUUACAUGGAAUACCAAUUGCGAAGGCAGGUUACUACUAAUGGAUUGACGCUGAUGGACGAAAGCGUGGGUAGCGAACAGGAUUAGAUACCCUGGUAGUCCACGCCGUAAACGAUGGAUACUAGCUGUUGGGCGCAAGUUCAGUGGCUAGGCGAAAGUGAUAAGUAUCCCACCUGGG
rnacentral:rRNA from 1 species